UGGGAGAGGGGAGAUAAUUAGGAUACUAACUAGGAAAUUAUGUGGUAACAAUAGAUACCUUUAACGAAUUUAACUUGAUUGCUUCUAUUCCCAAGAAGACCAAAAUUAUAGUAUUUGAUAAUGAUUCAUUAUUUUACGACAAUUUUAACAUGCAAUGACCAGGUUAUUACCAUCUGACCACGUAAUGACCAGGUUAUUACCAUCUGACCACGUAAUGACCAGGUCAUUACCAUCUGACCACGUAAUGACCAGGUCAUUACCAUCUGACCACGUAAUGACCAGGUCAUUACCAUCUGACCACGUAAUGACCAGGUCAUUACCAUCUGACCACGUAAUGACCAGGUCAUUACCAUCUGACCACGUAAUGACCAGGUCAUUACCAUCUGACCACGUAAUGACCAGGUUAUUACCAUCUGACCACGUAAUGACCAGGUUAUUACCAUCUGACCACGUAAUGACCAGGUUAUUACCAUCUGACCACGUAAUGACCAGGUUAUUACCAUCUGACCAUGUAAUGUAUAGCUGACUGUAAAG